UACGUAGGGUGCAAGCGUUGUCCGGAAUUAUUGGGCGUAAAGAGCUCGUAGGUGGCCUGUCGCGUCGGCUGUGAAAUCUCGGGGCUCAACUCCGAGCUUGCAGUCGAUACGGGCAGGCUAGAGUUCGGCAGGGGAGACUGGAAUUCCUGGUGUAGCGGUGAAAUGCGCAGAUAUCAGGAGGAACACCGGUGGCGAAGGCGGGUCUCUGGGCCGAUACUGACACUGAGGAGCGAAAGCGUGGGGAGCGAACAGG
rnacentral:rRNA from 1 species